rnacentral:rRNA from 1 species
GGGGAAUAUUGCGCAAUGGAGGGAACUCUGACGCAGCGACGCCGCGUGAGCGACGAAGGCCUUCGGGUCGUAAAGCUCUGUUCUUGGGGACGAAUAAAGUGACGGUACCCAAGGAGAAAGCCCCGGCUAACUACGUGCCAGCAGCCGCGGUAACACGUAGGGGGCGAGCGUUGUCCGGAAUUACUGGGCGUAAAGGGCGUGUAGGCGGCCAUGUAUGUCAGGUGUGAAAGGCCUCGGCUUAACCGAGGCAUUGCACAUGAAACUGUGUGGCUUGAGUGCAGGAGAGGGAAGUGGAAUUCCUAGUGUAGCGGUGAAAUGCGUAGAUAUUAGGAGGAACACCAGUGGCGAAGGCGACUUCCUGGACUGUAACUGACGCUGAGGCGCGAAAGCGUGGGUAGCAAAC